AGAAAUAACAAUACAAGGCAGUUAAAAUGCUUUGUAAUUGGAAUGAUAGAAAUUUAAACCCUUUUUAAAGUAUCAAUUGGAGGGCAAGUCUGGUGCCAGCAGCCGCGGUAAUUCCAGCUCCAAUAGCGUAUAUUAAAAUUGUUGCAGUUAAAAAGCUCGUAGUUGAAGUUCUGCUAAAAGUAACCGGUCUGCUUUUAAUAAAAGUGGUAUCUUGGUGUGUAUUUAGCAAUAAUGUCCUUUGAAGUGUUUUUUACUUUAUUGUAAUAAAGCAUAUUCAGGACUUUUACUUUGAGAAAAUUAGAGUGUUUCUAGCAGGCUGACGCUUUGAAUACUGCAGCAUGGAAUAAUAAGAUAGGAUUUUAGUUCUACAUUAUUGGUUUUAAGAGCUAAAUUAAUGAUUGAUAGGGACAGUUGGGGGCAUUUGUAUUUAACUGUCAGAGGUGAAAUUCUUAGAUUUGUUAAAGACAAAC
rnacentral:rRNA from 1 species